GCGGCCUGCAGAGAACAAGGAGAGCAAUAACACAAGCCUCUUCAACAUCUCCUCUGCAACCCAAUCCGCAAUGGAGAUGAAGAAGAUCGCUUGUGCCGUGCUCGUCGCCGCCGCUUCGGCCACAGCCGCCAUGGCGGCCGAGAGCCCCGCCCCGGCCCCUGCCAGCGCCGGCUUCGCCGUCACCCCGGCUGUUGGAGCUGCUGUCGGAGCUGCUGUUGUCUCCUUCUUUGCUUUCUACUUGCAGUAGGCCUCGGAGGGGAGAAAGAAUAUAUGUUGAGAUGUUUGUUUGAGCUUUCUUUCUUCUUUUAUCUUUGUUUUUGCUUUGAUUUGAAAACA
rnacentral:misc_RNA from 1 species